UCUCCGUUGGUGAACCAGCGGAGGGAUCAUUACUGGAAUCGCAAGAUCCCACAACCCUGUGAACCUACCCAACCGUUGCCUCGGCGGGCGCCUGGCCUUGCGCGGGGCGCGACGCCCGCCGGUGGCCCCCUACUCUGUCUAUGCAGCGUGGAAUCUCCGGGGAUAUACAAGACAAGUCAAAACUUUUAACAACGGAUCUCUUGGCUCUA
rnacentral:misc_RNA from 1 species